rnacentral:rRNA from 1 species
CCUACGGGAGGCAGCAGUGGGGAAUAUUGCGCAAUGGGCGAAAGCCUGACGCAGCGACGCCGCGUGAGGGAUGAAGGUCUUCGGAUCGUAAACCUCUGUCAGCAGGGAAGAACGGUCACUGUGCUAAUCAGCAGUGAAUUGACGGUACCUGCAAAGGAAGCACCGGCUAACUCCGUGCCAGCCGCCGCGGUAAUACGGAGGGGGCGAGCGUUAAUCGGAAUUACUGGGCGUAAAGCGCUCGUUGGCGGUAUGUCAAGUCAAGGGUGAAAUCCCCGCGCUCAACGUUGGAAUUGCAUUUGAUACUGGCAAACUGGAGUGUGUGAGAGGAUAGUGGAAUUCUAGGUGUAGGAGUGAAAUCCGUAGAUAUCUGGAGGAACAUCAGUGGCGAAGGCGACUAUCUGGCACAUAACUGACGCUGAGGAGCGAAAGCGUGGGUAGCAAACAGGAUUAGAUACCCUUGUAGUC